AGUGAACGCUGGCGGUAGGCCUAACACAUGCAAGUCGAACGGCAGCACAGUAAGAGCUUGCUCUUACGGGUGGCGAGUGGCGGACGGGUGAGGAAUACAUCGGAAUCUACUUUUUCGUGGGGGAUAACGUAGGGAAACUUACGCUAAUACCGCAUACGACCUACGGGUGAAAGCAGGGGAUCUUCGGACCUUGCGCGAUUGAAUGAGCCGAUGUCGGAUUAGCUAGUUGGCGGGGUAAAGGCCCACCAAGGCGACGAUCCGUAGCUGGUCUGAGAGGAUGAUCAGCCACACUGGAACUGAGACAAGGUCCAGACUCCUAAGGGAGGCAGCAGUGGGGAAUAUUGGACAAUGGGCGCAAGCCUGAUCCAGCCAUACCGCGUGGGCGAAGAAGGCCUUCGGGUUGUAAAGCCCUUUUGUUGGGAAAGAAAAGCAGCAGGUUAAUACCCCGCUGUUCUGACGGUACCCAAAGAAUAAGCACCGGCUAACUUCGUG
rnacentral:rRNA from 1 species